GGUUGUAUAGCCUAAAUCAAGGCAUUUGAGUUGCAAUCAGAUCAUGUAUUCCUUAUACU
rnacentral:tRNA from 1 species